AGCGAUCCUCCUGCCUCAGCCUCCUGAGUAGCUGGGACUACAGUUUGCUUGCAAAGGAACGCUCCAGUCACCUGCCUGAGGAACAGACCCUGGGCUGCCAGUAUUCUUGGAGCCCAGGGCACACUGAGUGACACUAGGAUGUCCCACGUGACUUUAUUGAGUAAAGCGAUAGUGCAGAGCUAGCAAAGAGCUCUUCUGUAGGCAAAGCCACACAAAGUCAUCCACAUCUCCCACCUGGUUCCUUUUGUGAGCCUUCCAGGUUCACACGUCAGGAAACCCCACGCAGACAUAUUUAGUGACCCACGCUACAUACUUAGCUUUGGUGAAGGGCCCACAUGUGGGUAUUUGUAGCAUAGGCCGCACUGGGGCAUGAUGAGGAGGGCAGAUCUAACCCUUGCCCAGAACACUCUUGGACAACGUCAGGCUCACUAACAUAACAAGUAGAACAGGCACGAAAUACCUACGACCACAGGCAACAGGUGCAAAACCUAGACCAAAGGCCAGCUGCUAGCCUGUCAGUGAAGUUUUCUCAUUAAUAAUAUGAAAAUCCACUAAGUCUUGGAAGAUAGUCUUCCAACAGAAAAAUGCUUGUUAGCAGGACAUGGGCCCUAUGUCCAGAGCCACCUUAGAUAAACAGUAGACAUGCUGUGCCCCACAGCAGCUUGGCCGGGAGCUGCCACCUGCAUUCUGCCCUCAUCCUGGCAUAGAAUCCACACAGUGGCCAUCUAAACGCAGGCCCUGGGGCCCAAACAGCCUCUGGUGGCGUCAGAGAGCAGGUGGUCUCCCUGUGGGGAAGCCAGCCUUCAGCACGGUCCGCCUGGCCUCUGGAAAACAACAAGCAUGGUCCCACUCAUGGCAGGGAGAAGCUAAGGGUGUGUGGCCCAUGGCUGGCACCGGUGAGGGCAAAGUGGGCCACCCCAGGCACUGCCCCCUCAGAGCCCAGUGUAGAUGCAGAACAUUCCAACAGCAGAGUGCAGGCAUCGCACCCGUGCAGGUGAACUCUGCUUUCCGCACAAGAGUGCAUCGAAACAUCCUUACACCUCAAGUCUCACUUUGAGCCCCCUAAAGCACUGCUGUUUAAGCACAUCAUCUCUGUAAAACGCAUCAUUCCCUCCACGGCUUCUCCUCCUCCCCACGACACACACAGUCGAUCUGUUCUUCAAAGAUUCAGAGUCUGGACACCAGAUAUGCUGCCAAGGACAGUCACCUACUUUGGAACUAAUUUUUUAAAACAACAAUAAGAAGAAGACUUCCCAGCUCCCUGGACAGCCAUGCAGAAGUGCCUGGAAGCAAAGGCACAGCCUAGAGGACAGCCAUUGAAAGAGCCCAAUGAAGAAACAGCGUUCACUGAAGAAGACAGAGGCACAGAAAGGGCAUGAAGAAGCAUCUCCUUCAGCUUUCUCAUCACUGCAGCAGGCCAGCAGCUCUGGAAACCUUGCCUCCUGUACUCUGAACCCAAAGGAACUCCAAGGAAGCAGCAAGAAAUCUGCAAGGGAGGGGAGGAGGCAGAGGGGGAGCUAGAACAUUCAGGUGCAGGAGUCCCUACCCCUGGGGCUGGGUAGCCCCGAGAUGCAAUCUGAGAUAACAACCGUAGGCCUAGGCUCAGAGCCAGUGACAUUAAUAAAAAAAAAAAAAAGAAAAGAAAAGAAAGAAAGAAAGAAACACUGAUAAAUCCUGAAAACUAAAUUAACAGCAGGAUCGCAGCCCAGUAACUGCAUGUAAUUACACAGCGUGCCUUGCCUCGCACAAAGAGCUCCCCAGCUUCCCGGGGACGGUUUUACACAGGGGCUUGCAGAGGCAGUGAGGGGACGAGCCAGGUGUGGGGCCAGCUUAACCUGGAGCCCCAGGAGCUUGGGGGACCUGGAUCCUGACCUGUGGGGGGACAAGUUUUGUCCCAGUAAAGUCCCCCAAAUAAAGGCAGAGUUGUCAGAAUAGAGGUGAGGCUCUUCCCACCAGCACCCCUUAUUCCAACCAUCACAGGAAUAUUCUAGAAACCUGCGGGCUGAGGCCCCCAGCUCCCCAGCUCUCCCUCCCUCCAGCCAGCAGCUAACAGAUUGCUCCUGUUUAACAGAGACAGCUGAUUAACUGGCCUUCUCAGGAAGUGGGGGUGCAGAGAGGGAAACCUCACAGGAUCUAGAAUAUUUCUCCUACUUGAGCACCUCGCAAUGGGCCUUCUCUUUGAAGACGUGGUCACAUGUGUGCACACACGUGGGUGUCAUGUGUGGGAGGUUGGGGGAUGGUGUCCCACCCUACUUCUUCAAUGGGUUGGCCAUACAAAGAGGUGGCCAAGAGUUCCACGGCUUAGUCCCAGUUCUGCUACCAUGACUUUGAGCAAGUCUCUUAUCCUCCUUUAAGAUCAAGUUCUGCAUCUGUAGCUUCUCCCCUCCAGCCCACUCAAACUGGUGGGUCUCAGAAAGAGGACCUAUUUUAGAGGCUGCUGUUUUCUUACCUAAUAGCCAUUCUCUCCCUGUAACUUAGAAACCUGGGUGAUUAACCUACCUGGAAAAGUACAUUUCUCAGACAAACUUGAAGAUAGAAAUGGCUAAUAGGAUGGAUGUGUGCAGUAGUUUUUGAGUGAGAUCUUUACAAAGUCCUUGCGAUAGCUUGAGCUCCAGCAGCCAUUUUGUGCCACAAAGAUGCUAAGCUAAGGAUGAUGGUGGAACAGAGUGAUAGAAGAUCCAGAUAACUGUGGAUAUUUCAUAUUGGCCCUGAACUGUGUACCUAUAGGCUUCCUUUACAUGAGAAAAUAAAUAAACUUUGAAAUUACUUAAGUCACUGCUGUCUAUAGUCUCUGUUACUAACAACUAAACACAAUUUCUAAGUGAUUCAGGGUCUGUAUGCAUUUAUAUUUAUAACCUACUCAUCAGCUACUCAACAGGUUCAGCACCUUCCACCAUCAACUACACAAAAUUCCAUGAAGGUCAUAAAUCUAGAACCAAUGAAGAAACCUUAAUACACAAAAUUUCAUUAAUAAAACUAAAAAA